rnacentral:piRNA from 2 species
CAUUAAAUCAGUUAUGGUUCCUUUGGUCU